AAAAACAUUCCUUGGAAGCUGGACAAAAUGGUGAAAACUCAAAAUUUAUCAUCACAACUGA
rnacentral:snoRNA from 1 species